AGAGUUUGAUCCUGGCUCAGAACGAACGCUGGCGGCGCGUCUUAAGCAUGCAAGUCGAGCGGUAGCAGGGUGCUUGCACCUUGUAUAGAGCGGCGGACUGGUGAGUAACGCGUGGGUGACCUACCUUUAGGAUGGGGAUAGCCUUUAGAAAUAAGGGGUAAUACCGAAUAUAAUUACGGUGCUAUGGCAAUGUAAUGAAAGGCGCUUCGGCGCCGCCUGAAGAUGGGCCCGCGUCCCAUUAGGUAGUUGGCGGGGUAAUGGCCCACCAAGCCAGUGAUGGGUAGCCGGCCUGAGAGGGUGAACGGCCACAUUGGGACUGAGAUACGGCCCAAACUCCUACGGGAGGCAGCAGCUAAGAAUAUUCCGCAAUGGACGAAAGUCUGACGGAGCGACGCCGCGUGGAUGAUGAAGGCCGAAAGGUUGUAAAAUCCUUUUGCUACUGAAGAAUAAGUGUGGUAGGUAAUGACCGCAUGAUGACGUUAGGUAGCGAAUAAGCCCCGGCUAAUUACGUGCCAGCAGCCGCGGUAACACGUAAGGGGCGAGCGUUGUUCGGAAUUAUUGGGCGUAAAGGGCGCGUAGGCGGUUAGGUAAGUCUGACGUGAAAUACCCGGG
rnacentral:rRNA from 1 species